rnacentral:rRNA from 1 species
UACGGAGGGGGUUGGCGUUGUUCGGAAUUACUGGGCGUAAAGCGCGCGUAGGCGGAUCAGAAAGUAGGGGGUGAAAUCCCAGGGCUCAACCCUGGAACUGCCUUCUAAACUCCUGGUCUUGAGUUCGAGAGAGGUGAGUGGAAUUCCGAGUGUAGAAGUGAAAUUCGUAGAUAUUCGGAGGAACACCAGUGGCGAAGGCGACUCACUGGCUCGAUACUGACGCUGAGGUGCGAAAGCGUGGGGAGCAAACAGG